UGCGCUGAUUGGCUGCCCGGGGCGUGCUAUGCGCUGAUUGGGUGGGAGUCUUUUGGCGCCAACAUGGCACUCCGCGUCCCCUUGACAGUUCACGCCAUGGCUACACUGGCUCACUUUUUCUUGCCUUUACGAUCUUCCCAGGGACUUUUGCAGUGUUAUUUGAGGUGUUGAGUGCCCAUGCUGUGGUAAUGAAACUCAAACACUACAACACGGUCAACACCUACUAGACUCGUGAAUACGGUGACCUCAAAGUUGAAUUUAACCUCAUGCAAGAAAUAGAACCGAAAUGGAGAUAAGCUUGUUGAUAUACGUACUAGCAUUUGACAGACAGACAUGCUGUUAUUAUGAAGCUGAAACACUAAAACGCCUUUUAUUAGACUCCUGAAUAUGACGACCUCAAAGCUGAAUUUAACUUCAUGCAAGAAUUAGAAAACAGGAAUAGAUAUGAUAAGCUUGGUGAUAUAGGUACUAGCAUUUGACAGACUGACAAUUGAAGAAAUAGAAACUAGAAAAGAAUUUGUGAAAAUGCUGUGGAACACUAGAAAGAGAAAACAAGAAGUGAAGCAGUCAGUCAACGUCUAAGGUCCAUACAUGCUGGCAGCUUUACCAUCGAGGAACCAAGACUCUUCAGCUGCCUGCUGAGGGACAUCAGUGACACUUCUAACUGCAGCACGGAGACCUUUAAAAGAACGUUGGAUAAGCCCCCUGUCCUACACUCCAAGGGGGGCAUGGAGUAACUCACUCUCUGACCAGCUGAAAAGAGAAAAAACAAAGGAACAGGAAAGGAAGAAUAAACAUCUAAUCUACAAGGACUUCACAGUGGGAACUGUUACAAAGGCCAGCUCCCUAAAACACUGAAGAAGAAGCUUAUCCCACAUACCCUCAGCCCCAACACAGCCUUCCAAGCCUUCGUGUGUACGCAGACCUUCCUGCAGAAGUCUGGGCAACUCAACAGAAUCUAAUCCCUACCCUGGUGACAGAACGACAAACUCACAACAGCCGAUAGCAUCUACCACUGACGGGGCUGUGGAGGCCGUGGUCCCACAGCCUAACUAGCUCCCUAAAACACUCCAGAAGAAGCAGCUUAUCCCACACCUAUACUAGUGGAGUGGACUUGACUGGCGCCUGCUCAGGUGAAGCCAGAUGGGGUAACGACGUCAGGGUGGCUCCUAAAACAGCUGGUGUGGGAGCGCUACACUCCACAGCACCAAUGGGGCCACCCUACCAAGACCACAGCAGGAGGAGGAAGAGCUCUGCAUUACUAAGUACCUCAUCAUGACAUUCCGAGGGUUUUACCUCAUUUUUGCCUUCUAUUCAAAACAUUUUCUUAAAUCUUUUUCUCAUCCUGCCUCCUCUUCCUCCUUCAACUUCCUCUUCUUCCUUGUGUGGCUGUGUCCGUCCCAUAUUCGGCGAGACCAUCCUGACGUCGUAACACCCGUUUGGGAGUGGGGGGACCCAUGAAGGCGGCGGCGGCAGCCCUAAGGUGGGGAGAGUUGCGCCGACACCUCCACUCCGUUACGGCGGUAUGUGGCUGGCUAGGGUGGCCUGAACCGCUGUCUGGGUUGUUAGUCGUUCAGUUGAAUUGGGGAUCUGCCUCCCUUGAGGUGCACAUGUCACAGUGGUGGUAGCAGAGAGUGUGAGAGGUGUGUGCGUGAGUAGGAAGCUGGUGCCAUCCUGACGUCGUAACACCGUUGGGUGGGGCGGGGCUCAUGAUGACCUGAUUGGUCUGAUUGUUGUCUUGUCUCCCCGCGGUGCACAUGUCCUAGAGGUGGAAAUAGUGUGGCCUUCUUUUCCAUCUUGUCCCCCUCCACCUCACCCCCCCAUGCUGUUAUAUUGUAUUAACUUCCUUACCCUCUUUAUUUAAGGCCAUUCACUAAUUUUUAUUCUGUUCUCUCCCCUCCUCCUCCCCUUGCUGGCCGGUGAAGGGAGCAGGACCACUAGGAUGAGGAGGAGGGAGAGGAGUUUCAACCAUGAGGAGGCAGUAGACAAAAAGCAGAGGCGUAGGAAGAGAAACGCCAGCAAGACGGCCAGGGCAGUGAAGAGAAGAAGACUGCAGGAGGCUGUGGAGAGGCUUGACACAGCACCAUCACAUGCUUGGCCAAGACCAGCAAGACAGCCAGGGCAGUGAGGAGGAGGAGGAAGACUGUUGAAGGCUGUGGAGAGGCGGUGUUAGUGGGUUGGAGUGAGACUUGAUAUGGCACCAUCGCAUCCGUGGCUCAGGUUGUCACAUCACGGAUCGCUGCGUCAACUUGGGUGUCAGCGGAGGCGGCGGCGGCGUUGGUGGAGACAGUGCCGGUAGGUCCCCAUAGAGGGCCAACCAGUGCCACGGUCCAACACAGGGUCAUCUUAC